rnacentral:lncRNA from 1 species
GGAAUUCACAAGUCAGCCGCCUAGCCUCCCUGCAGAGCCCAGUCUGCUGAUGAGAGACAGUCUCUGCUGAGUUUCAGCCCUUGGCAUUUUACCAGCCUACCCAAGGCCUCUCUCAGACCCCCAUCUCAAGGAAACUACAGACAGCAGCAAACAAGGCAUGUAGCCUGGGUCCUCUGAGGGGAACAUGAGCCUCAAAGGGUGCUGAGAGACUGCUGCACAGUCCUGCCUGUCCUCAAGAGGAUUUAUUAGCAGUGACAGAGACAGCUCCAGAGCUGGGUUGCUCCACAACAGGGAUCACUGUGGGGACCAAGUUGCUAAGACGACCAGGGGAUGUGACUCACGCUUUAACCCGAAGCAGUGCUGCAGGUUCCAAAAAAGAUGCAACAUAGCGAAAGGGAAAAACACACUGAUUCUGCAUUCUCCGUCACAGCUCAGAGAGACACGGGGCUGGAAAAGCAGGCUGACAGCUCUGCCCACACCAGGAUUCACAUAA